rnacentral:lncRNA from 1 species
GUUCUCUUUCUUCAAGAUCAGGCCACAGAGACUGACUGAAUGGCUCCAAUUAUCAGGAUGUGAAAAUCUAAAUCAGAAUCUACCACUUUGUGUAAGUCUGCCCUGAGCAGUCUCUUCUUUAGCAACAGAACACUUGCAUAAUAUGGGCUCAUCUUCUUCACUUCUCCCCGACUUUGUAAAAUAUGAUAAAAAAUUUCUUUUCAUGAUUUUAAAGUCAAUUGCAUGGGGAAUCUUGCAGGAAACACAACAUAAAAACUAAAAAGAAUUCCUUAAAAGAUGUGUCCAGGUAGGUGAAAAGUGGAAGUUUGUGGGCACUCAAGGAUGAUACUCAAAUUACUAACCAUCUAGUAAAUAGUCUGAAGGCUGAACACAGGAAAUUUUACCAAGUUUUCUGCAUGAGUUGGGUUUUGAGUAUAUACAAAGCUGAGGUCCAUUCUGUGAACAUCAAUUAAGGCCAACCAUAGCUGUUUACUCAGCCAUAAAACCCCCCUUUUAAGUUUUUUCUUGUUUUUGUGGUACUGGGGAUCAUGCCUAUGAAGCAAGUGCUCUAUCCCUGAGCUACACCCCCAGCCUAAGGGUUUUUAAAGUGAUGAUUCUUCUGAGUCAAGAGUGAUCAUUAAACUCUAUAUAAUCUAUAUACUGCAGAAACCUUAGAAACAAUAGCUUGAUUGCAAGUGAACUUUGUAAUUAUAAAAGCAAUACAAAACAUAUAAAGUAAAAAAAAAAGUUCCUUUUGUUCUCCAAACCCAUCCAUUCCCCAACAAUGAAUAUUAGAAAGAGCCUCAAAUAUUAAUAGAUACUUUUACUAAUGUAUAUUAGUUGUACAAACUAGUGGGUUUCACUGUAGCAUUUGCAUACAUGAAUAUAUUGAGCUUUGAUCAUAUCCUCCUUCCCUACUACCUUCUCUCACCUUCCCCUUUUUCCCCCUCCUCCCAGUCUCCUUUCACCUACUCUAAUUGUUCCUCUACGACUUUCAGGUCAUUUUUUUUGCAAUUCUAGAUUUCACAAAGGAGAGAAAAUAUGUGAUACUUUUCUUCUUUUUUGUCUAACAGAUAUUUUUAUUCAUAUGCAAGUAUUUCUUCUUUUAAAUCACAAAAAAAUCAUAUAAUAUAUUUACUAUUUUGAGCUUGCUUUGAUUUUCCAUGGCAAUAUAUGUUGGCUACUGCACCAGCGCUAUACAUGGGUUUACCUCAUUCCCUGUAGCUGCAGGGAUAUUACAUAAUGUUAUUAUGGAUAAAAUCAUUACCACAUUGAUGAAUAUUUAGCUUACUUUUAUUUAAUCUUUGCUUUACAUAAUAGUGCUUCAGUAAACAUAUACAUAUUUUUAUGUACUUUGUAAAUGUACUUUCAAAAUUAACUCCUUGAAAUGGAAUUUCUAGGUUUUACACAUUUUCGGUGUUGAAAUUAUAUUGCCACAUUACUGAUACAAUAAAAAAGUUGUACCAAUUCACCUUUUCCUGACAGAUUUUGAGAGGCAGUGAUUUUGACAAGGGCUAUGAUAGGUCAUGUGUGUGAAGUGUCUCUUUUAUCUCUUCAAAGGUGGCUAACACAGUCCAGUGGCAGCUCUGAUGGUUAGUGAUGACCAGGUGGAGAGAGCACCUCUAACAUACCUGCUAGGGUAGAGCAGUGCUAGAGAGGGGCAUGCCUGGGGGAAAAGACUGCCAUCAGCUUAGGAACAGGUCUGAGUUUUCACCUGGGCCCUGUGCAACAGUUUUCCUGAUAAUUAUGGGGGCUGCAGUGCAGCUCUCUCUGGCUCUCUCUCUCUCUCUCUCUCUCUCUCUCUCUCUCUCUCUCUCUCUCACACACACACACACACACACACACACACACACACCUCUCUCUCUCUCUCUGUCUCUCUCUCUCUCACACACACACACACACACACACACACACACGCACUCUUCCAUCUCUGUACAGACUAUACUCUGAACAUCCAUUUACCUUUCUUCUUUACCUGGGCCUGGCUUCUGAGGAAGUGCUAUUCUCAGUCACCUGUGGCUGAUCUUCAUCAGGCAAGAAUUCUCUAGGCUUCCUCUCUGUUUUGCCCUUCAGCCUCACUGUGUGUGAUUAACCCAGAAAUUUACCUGACUUUGACCCAGUCCCUGAAUUUGAAGAGAUAGUUUCAUCCUGGAAAACUUCUACUCCGUAUUCAAUACUUUUAUUUUUAUGAGUCCCAUUUUUAUCUUGAAAUAGAAACACCUUGAUCUCAGCCUUUAAAUUGAGGGGUUAUAGUUACACUAGGAAGUUCAGUUGGUAUUUAACUGUACUGUGGUAAAGGCUGUAGAAGUAAAGAUAAAUGAAACCCAGUUGAUGUCUUCCAGAAGCUCAUAAAAUAGUGAGGAGGUAGAUAGCAUUAACCAAGUAGAGGUCACACUUUUGAGAAGUGUUGUAACAGAUAUUUAAUUUGUAAAGUUCCAGUUCUGGAACUAUGCCUUACAGAUACACCUGUACAUGUGCAAAAAGAUUUAUAAGCAAUUUGUUCACUGCAAAGUUGUAUGUAAUGGUAAGGUUUAACAAACCUGAUUGUUGACAAUGACACUCUGUAUCAUUUAAGAAAUGUCUUCCUGAACUAACAUGCAGUGAUCUCCAGGAUAUGUUUUAUAUGAAAUUGCAAGUUAUGUGCAUAAAAAAUCUAGGAAAUAAAAAUAUGUAUUAAUGCUUAUUUGUAUAUGCAGUCAUGUGCCUAAUAGCAAUUUGGUCAAUGACAGACCACAAAUACCAUGGUGGUUCCAUAGACUACAAUGGAGCUGAAAAUUUUCUGUCACCUAGAGACACUGUAGCUGUGAUGUUGUAGCACCAGGUAUUACUCAUAUGUUUAUGGUGAUAUUGAUGUAAACAAACCUACUUCACUGCCAGUAGUAUAAAAGUAUAGCAAGUGCAACUAUGUAUAGUAUGUAAUACUAGAUAAUGAUGACAAAUGACUUUUUUUAAUAUUUAUUUUUUAUUUGUAAUUGGACACAAUACCUUUAUUUUAUGUAUUUAUUUUUAUGUGGUGCUGAGGAUUGAACCCAGGGCCUUAUACCUGCUAGGUGAGCACUCCACUGCUGAGCUACAACCCCAGGCCCCAACAAAUGACUGUUACUAGUGUAUUUACUAUAUCAAGCUUUUUACCAUUAAAGUGUACUCCUACAUACUUAAAAAAAAAACUUUAUUAUAAAAGUAUGCCACAUCAUCUUGAUUGCAUAAAGGGGCCACCUGAAGUCAUUGGUCUGUACCACAUAGGUAUACUUCAUAAAUUGCUCACACAAUGAUGAAAUCAUCUAGUGAUGCAUUUCUCAGAAUUUACCCCAUCAUUAAGUAGUGUAUGACCGAACAUACAUUGGAAGUCCCCAAAGGAAAGAUUAGCAAGUGCUAGUCUAUAGGGGACAUCAGGGAUUGGGGGAUGGAUGGAAAAAGGGAAUGAAAUACGACUUUUCAAUAUAUUCACUUUUAGGUCAUUUAAAUUUUUGAACCAUGUUAAUAUAUCAUCUAUUUUAAAAAUCAUAUUAAAUAAUUUUAAAUUUCAAAAUAAAAUUCCUUCUUUCCAAACUUUGCAUUUUCCUAGGUGUUUGGGAGUACUUAGAUACAUUUACUGGAGAUAAAGAAUAUUUCUCUGGGGCUGGGGUUGUGGCUUAGUGGUAGAGCACUUGCCUAGUACGUGUGAGGCCCUGGGUUCAAUCCUCAGCACCACAUAUAAAUAAAUGACAAUAUUGUGUCCAACUACAACUAAAAAAAAUAAUAAUAAAAAGAAUAUUUCUCUGAACUGGAGAAAGAAGCCUUCUUAGGGACCACUUGAUUUUUUAAAAUAUUUUUUUAGUUGUUGAGGACCUUUAUUUUUAUUUAUUUAUAUACAGUGCUGAACAUUGAAUCCAGUGCCUCACUAGGAAAGUGCUCUACCACUGAGCCACAAGCCCAGCCUCUUGACCGCUUGAUUUUUGUUGCUACAUGGUAGAUCCACUGUCUCAUGGAAACGAGAAAAAGUUCUACAAAGUUCUCGGAGAUGAAAUUUCAUAUAAAUAGGACACCCAUAAGACAUGGGAGCUAUUUUAGGAGUAGAUUAUAGCCUUCAAACUUCCUAUUGGCAAGGCUGUUCAAGAGUGACCUUCUUAGGGUUCCCAUGACGUCUUGGUAGUAAAGACAUGAUUUGUUCACAUCUUCAGUUUGCCUGCUUACAUCACGAAGGUAAGCAAUAUGAAAUUUUUCUUCUUUAAGUUAUAAGUAAAGGUCCUAUGCUGAGUUACAAAUAAGAGAAUUUAUCUGUCUUGUAACAAAAUUGCUUUUCUUUAAUGAGAAUGUGCUUCAUAAAUUUCCCAGAACAUUGAAUUAAAGUGAUUUGGGGAAAGAUAUCAAGAUAGAAUUAGAUCUUGAGAAUUCUCUGGGGACUUCCAUGAAUUGAAAUUUGGACAUUUUGCAAGAAGAUAAUAGAGCAUAAAAUAACAUGUGAGAAAAAAUGUUGAUGAUUUAUGAUUAUAAAUGACAGUAUGCUUAUAAACAACAGAAGAUUGUUGAAGAGUGAUAGUCUCACAAGUCACACAAGGACAUGAAAGGCCUCUGGUCGAUGAGGGGUACUUUACUUCCCUGUACAACUCUGCAUGGAAUCUCCUCACUGCUACUGCUACUGCCCUGCCUCUUCAGCUUGUUUUACUCACUUUGUCCAUGAAACUGUACCCAGGGGAUAAGCCCUACCUAGGAAGCUGGGGACAAUUGGCUGGAGGUAUGGAGGUAGGUAAGCACAAGGUGAGUGACAUCCAAGUUUCUUUCAUUGCUCCCUCCUCCACUUACCACUGCUUUCCAGAAGUGCCAUUUAGUCUCUCAGCUGGUCUCAAAUCAGUCCUGAGGAAAGGAUCUGAAAAUCCUGACUUAGGAAUGAAACAUUCACAUGUGAUAAAGUGACCUUAUAACUCAUCUAGCCUAAAUCUGGUGUCAGUUUAUUUUUAAAAGUACUAGUGAGUCGCUAUUUUAUUUUAUGAGAUUACCACACAAAUGUGAACCUAUUAAGUGAAUUAUUGCCAGCAAUCAAGGUCACUUGUUACAUAACAUUAGCAAGAGGGACUCAGGUGAGAAACAACUCUGAUUAUAGGUAUUUAGUCCAAAUGUACAUCAGUUUUAACUCCUUAAAUGUAUUUCUUUUAGCAGCUAAUUGAAAUACUUUAAAAGUCUUGACACAACAGUUAUACAAACAUACAUGUAACAACAUGGGAAAUUAAAUGAGACUUAUAAUAUACAUCUUAACAAAAUGAUGGCUUAAUUUGUACUCCUUUUGUAAUUUUAACUAAAUAUUGUGGUGAGUAGUUCUUACAUUAAAUCCUAAGUAUAUGGGCAUUUAUUACACACAAUAUGAAAAUACUUCAGGAGGCUUGUGAUUAACGCUGUGGUAUUCAGGCAUAGUUUAUAGAGAUUUUCAAUCAAAGACAAAAGGCCCAAGCAGAUGAUGAAACACAUGAAAAAGAUGUAUGUAUAUAGCCAAGGACUUAAUUCAGACUUGCUCAUAUUAGCUCAGUUCUAGUUCUUGGCCUAUCAGGCAUGUACUCAAACAAGUAUCCCCUGAGACUGGCUCAAGGCUGCCCUAUGGAUUAACCCCUAGGGGAGGGUGGCCAUGUAAAAUACAGAAGAUUAAGUUAAAUUUAAUUUCAGAUAAGUAAUGAAAAUUUUUUAGUACAAAUAGGUCCCAAAUAUUGUAUGUUAUGUACUGUACUAAAAAUUAAUUGCUUAUUAUAAAUUAAAAUAUCAUUGGAUAUCUUUUAUUUUUAUUUUUUCUAAAUCUGACAAACCUACCCAAGAGGUUCUAAAGAACACCCACGUAUCACCUCCUCUUGUCCUCUGUGACUGAAUUGGAGUAUGCAGACAUUUGCCCUAGUAUGUAUGUGCUUACUGUCUGAAACAAGAUGACUGACAGAUUUGAAAUUUCCAGAACAGAAUUUUAAUCUAGCUGAAUCUCUUCUUGGAUACUAUCUGCUAUGGUUUGGAUGUGGUGUGUUCCCGGGAGAGUUCAUGUGUUGUGCUUUCCCUGCCCCUUAGUGUGGUAGUAUAGGGGUGGUGGGGCCUACUGGCAGGUCACUGAAGGCACUGCUCUAAAUGGGAUCAAGGUAGUUCUCAUGAACCCUGAGUUAGUCCUAGGUAGAUCAAGUUGUUUAAAAGCAAGCCCAAUCCCUAAGCCCCUAAAUCACUCUCCAAACUUCUGUCUCAGGAUAUGAUGUCUUCUUCCCAAAAGUGCUCCCAGCAUUAUAGCACCAUUUACCAUGGGGCCCUCCCCACCACUAGGAGCUGAUGCCUGUACCAUGCUACUAUGAUUGAGACAUGAGGUGUCCCCAGAAGUUUAUGUGUGAGACAAUGCAAAAAUGUUCAGAAGUAAGAUGAUUAGAUUAUGAGAGCAGGAUUAAUCCACUGAUAUAGAUUAAGUAGGUGAUAACUAUAGGCAGGUAGAGUGUAGCUAGAGAAAGUAGGUCACUUGGGGUGUGUGCCUUUGGGGUUUAUAUUUUAUCCUUGGUGAGUGGAGCUCUCUCUCUGCUUCCUGGUUGCCAUGUUCUGAGCUGCUUCUCUUUGCCAUGCCCUUCUGCCAUGAUAUUCUGUCUUACCUCAGGCCUAAAGGUAUGAAGUUGCCAACCAUGGACUGAACCUCUGAAACUAUGAACCAAAAUACACUUUUCAUCCUCUAAGUUGUUUUUGUUAGGUCUUUUGGUCACAGUGAUGCAAAGCUGACUAAAACAUCUCCACGACAGUGAGCUAAAUAAACCUCUUAAUAAAUUGACCCAGCCUUGGGUAUUUUAUUAUAAUAACAAAAAAGGACUAUUACAUUGCCUUAUUUCUUAUUAUUUAGGCUUGUUCCUUCUAAUGGAACUUUUUGUUCAUACUUUCAAAUAAUUUUUUAAACAUAGUGAUUGAAGAGGGACAUUGGCAACCAUGUCACUAAUUGUAAUGCAAAGAAAAUUCUAAGGUCUAACUUCUUCUCUUUGCUCCUCUCCUUGAACUUGGAGCCAGUAUUUAUUUUUCAAAUGCAUGUCUGCCAGGUUUCUGUUCUCACGACUAAAAGGCUCAGUGGUCACUCCAGUUAAACUGGGCUGACUAGGCUGCACCAAAUAACCACACAAGAGACACAAAUACCUUUUUCUUUGGGGUCACUGUGAUGGCUCCUCUGACCUUAAGGGUCCGCAGAAAGAGAGAGAGCGAGAGCACAUGCUGACCCCUUUUAUGAGGAGAAGCUAUUCAAAUGAGUCAAAGGGUCAGGUUUCAGGGGGCUGAGUCUAUCUCAUGAUGUCCACUGUCAGCAGGUUGACUGACACCUGAGUAGGCCACACCCAAGGGCACAGUAAGAGAAGGGGACACACAUAAGGCACUUCCAUGGAAGAUUCUAUCCUAAACAGGGCAAGGGGUAAUGUUACAAAGGAACAGGUGAGCAUAGCUUCACCCAUGGGGCUGUAGCAAGACACACCCAUGCACGAGACCCUCGAACCUAAGAAGGGUGGGGAAAGCUCUGCCACAUUUCUGUGACUGAGCGCCUCAGCACCCAGCCGGGGAGUGUGACUCAGUCAAGUGCAAGGUUGGUCUCACACACAUGUCCUUAAGAUUUGAUAUCUUCUUUUCUUUUCUUUCUUGCUUGGGAUUGAACCCAGGACACUCUACCAUUAAGCCAUAUCCCCAAGUCCUUUUUAAUUUUUAUUUUUGAGAUAAUGUUUUGCUAAAGUUGCCUCAAACUUUUGAUCUCCCUGCCUCAUCCUUCUGAGUCAUGGAUUACAGGUGUAUGCCACAUACCUGGCAAAUGCCUAGGUUUUAAAGGGCAUAUAGAUGUGAAAUGAAAUAGGAGGGUUCCUUUUGGGCUAAGUUUGUACCCCUGGAUUAGUCUUUUGGAGCUUUGGUAAAUGUAGUUAAGUUUUAUUUUAAUCAAUUAAUUUAUUGUGCUGGGGAUUGAACCCAAGGGCCCUGUACCAUUGAACUACAUCUCCAGCUCUUUUCAUUUUUUAUUUUGAGAUGGGGACUUGCUAAGUUGCUUAGGACCUUGCUAAACUGCUGAGGCAGGCCUCAAACUUUUGGUCCUCCUCUCUCAGCUUCCUAAGCCACUGGGAUUAGGCAUGUGCCACCAUGCCCAGCUGGGUAGCUACUUUUAAAUAUUUAAUUUUAAAUUAAACCUUGGUUUUCUAAGUCAAGGAAAAUGCCACCACUACUAAAAUUUAGCAACUAAAGCAACGAAACAGCAAUGUGGUAGAGUAGAGAAAAAAAAAUAUAGAGUUGGCAGAUCUGAGAUUGAGUCCUGGCUCUGCACCUGAACUGACUGUGAGAUUCCAGGCAAAUCAUUUAGCCUUCAUGACUUUCAAUUCCCCUCCAACAAAAUAGGAAUUAUAAGGCAGUUAUGAAGAGAGACAGUAUAUAUAGAAAUCAUUUGUAAACUUCAAGACCAAUUUAGAUGUUUGAGGGAAUGAUGAUAAAGAUCAUGCUCAGGAUAUAAACAUUCUAGCAAGUCAGUUAUUACAGAGAAAUUUUAAUUUAUACCUAAAAUGUUUGUUACUUAGUUCACAAGAAGUAUAUAUAUGAUCAUUUUAUAUAUAUAUAUAUAUAUAUAUAUAUAUAUAUAUAUAGAUCAUAAUUAUAUUGAUUGAGAAAAGAAGCAAAACACAAUAAAAACAAACCUAAUUCCAUAUUUUAGAAAACAGCUUACUAAAAGAUUUUGUCUAAAAAUUGAAUGUUUGAAGUAGAAUAUUUUAUUUAUUUAGGUUGACAUUAAGAAAUGAAUAACAGAAAGGAACACUUUUGAAAAACAUUUCAUUUAAAGCCUUUUAUAGCGUGGCAUGGUGGCACAUGCCUGUAAUCCCAGAGGUUCGGGAGGCUGAAACGGGAGGAUUGCAAGCUCAAAGCCAGUUUCAGCAAUGGCAAGGUGCCAAGCCACUCAGUGAGAACCUGUCUCUAACAUACAAAAUAGGGCUGGGGAUGUGGCUCAGAGUUCAAGUAAGUGCCUGAGUUCAAUUCCUCAUACCUCCCCAAAAUUAAUAAAUACAGCCUUUUACUUUUAUUUUCGGGCAAAUAAUUAUUCAACAUCCAACCUGUUUAUUUUGUAAAAACAUUGGCAAAGUCUUCUUAACCCACUUAUUAUUAUUUUUAUGAACAUAACAGCUUGGAGUUUUAAAAAAAAUUUUGUUCUAAUUAGUUAUACAUGACAGUAGAAUGCAUUUUAACACAUCAUACAUAAAUAGAAUAUAACUUCUUUUUCUUCUGGUUGUAUAGCAUGUAGAAUCACACUGGUUGUGUAAUCAUAUAUGUAUAUAGGGUAAUAAUGUUCAAUUCAUUCUACUAUCUUUCCUACCUCUGUACCUUUUCUCCUCCUUUCACUCCCCUCUGCCUAAUGCAAAGUACCUCUGUUUUUCCCUAGCCCUCAUCCCCUUAUUGUGAAUUAGCAUCCACUUACCAGAGAAAACAUUCAGCCCUUGGUUUUGGGGGAUUGGUUUAUUUCAUACAGUAUGAUACUCUCCAGCUCCAUCCAUUUACCUUCAAAUGCCAUAAUUUCAUUCUUCUUUAAGGUUGAAUAAUAUUCUAUUGUGUAUAUAUACAAUAUUUUCUUUAUCUCUUCAUCUGUUGAAGGGCAGCUAGGUUGGUUCCAUAGUUUGGCUAUUGCGAAUUGAGCUGCUAUAAACAUUGAUGUGGCUGCAUCACUGUGGUAUGCUGAUAUUAAGUCCUUUGGGUAAAAACCAUGGAGUGGGAUAGCUGGGUCAAAUGGUGGCAGCUUGGAAUUUUUAAUGCAUGGUAAAAUCUUUGGUAAGAUCUUAAGAGUAGCUGGGUGUGGUGGCGGAUGCCUGUAAUCCCAGAGGCUCCAGAGGGUAAGGCAGGAGGAUGGCAAGUUCAAAGCUAGCCUCAGAAACUUAACGAGGCCUUAAGCAACUUAGAAAGACCCUGUCUCAAAAUAAAAAAUAGAAAGGGCUGGGUUCUCCUACCCUCCAAAUCCUUAGUGUAUAAUUUGCUCAGUAAUAAAACAGAGAGAGAGAGAGAGAGAGAGAGAGAGAGAGAGAGAGAGAGCAAGAGAAGAAUUUGGGCCAGAUGUCCCCUGGUUCCUUUUAGCAUUUGUGUCUUGUGCUAAAGGAACUCAGACCAGUUCUUGUGAAGGCUGUGGGAAAGCUGAGACAUAUGGCACUGGGUGCCAACUCUGAUUGAAGGGUAUUCUUUUUUUAUUUUACUUCAUUUUUUACUACACAACCAAUGUGUAUGGGUCAUAGAAAACUAGAAGAGGUGGUAAAAUUGAAACAGAGAGCUUAAUCAAGAUCCCGACUCCACCUCCAGAGAUUUGGAAUGCUGGAGAGAUGUCGGUUUGUGUCUUCAUGUGUGCUCUGUGCUCGAUGAAGGUGCAGUGUUCACCUCACUCUGUCAGACUCUCCCAAGGGGAUGCAGUGGUCUAUACAGAGGCAUUGCACAAAAAGUGCAUCUUAACCAAGGCCCUGAAGUGGUAUGGUUAAUAAAAUUCCACUAAAAUAGUUCUUGCAAUGACAAGACAAACAUGGAAAUUAAACCUCUACAUUUUAGGAUUACACUUCUUAUACCUUCUUUAUUUCCAUUCACUCAACUCCUCCCCAAUAUUCUGAAUAAAACACAAAACUUUUCCAGAAAAACUCAGAAUAUAACUUAGUGCUAAAAGUCUUUGUCACCAAACUCUGAGCUCCAUCCUUUAUAGGGAUUCAAAUUGCUUUUCUUUGACAUCUACUUCACACACAUGGGCUUGAGAGUAAGUGAGAUGGGGUUCCAGCUCUAGGCUAAAAGUGUCCACCUUUAAAACUUGGUAUCAUCUGUCCUGGGAAGGAGUUAGGGGAGGGGAAUUGAGUAGGAUAAGCCUGGCCCAGUUGUUGCAGCAGAAGAGUUAUUCCAAGUACCUCAGGUUUGGUUGUAUUUGCCCCAGAUUUCUGUGAGCUCAGUUCUGAAUCCUGGGUGAGAAUGCAUGGUGCAUAAAAACCAGAAGAUCCAUCUUUUCUUCAAAAUAAUUUUUUUAUUUGUUCUUUUAGUUAUACAUGACAGUAGAAUGUAUUUUGACAUAUACUUGGAGUAUAACUUCCCAUUCCUGUGGUUGUACAUGAUGUGAAGUUACACUAGUCGUGUAUUCAUAUAUGAACCCAAGCCUCUUUGAAGAGCUAGCCAUUAUUGAUUUGCCAACAUCUAAUGCAAAGUGUAAAUGCAAAGGCAUUCUUCUCCACUGUUUCACAAACCACUGAGAAAUGUUGGCCUGUGUGUGUUCCAGAAUUUUGGUGGCAGUGCCCAACAGAAGGGCAGAUGUCCUGGUGCUUGUGCAGGAGGCAGCAGCUCUCAGAGAGGCAUAAAUCUGGGGGUAUUCAGAGUGUGGUGGGACCUUGAAGUAUUCCGGUUUACAGUAGAUACGUUUGUAUCUGCAGGACACACAAUGGCAUUCAACAGAGCAAACAUAGAAAUCACAUCUUUUACAAUCAUAAGCAAGAAUUUUGAGAUCCAUCCCAAGAAGUGUGUGUGUGUGUGUGUGUGUGCGUGCACAUACACCUUUUUGGAGGGCAAAUAUCAGAGAGAGGGCUCUAUUUCAGACAUCUUGCUUCACUUCCUAAAACCAGUUCUAGUGAGAAAAUGAUGAUUCUUUCCAUUAUUUGAAAAAUUGACUCAUGGACUCAAAACCUUCCUCUGGUUUCCUUUGAAACUUUAAUUUGAUUUAGGCAUCUCUGCCUCUCACUCCAAAGUUUUUGACUAAUAAUAAUACUUAUCUUGUAGGGUUAGUAGGAAGAUUAAAUAACAUAAUAUGUGUUCAGAACUUAAUAUGUGUCCACAUAAUACGUGUCCAAGCACACAGUAAGCCCAUUUCAGUAUUAACUCUAAUUUGAUGGCUGCCUAAAUUCACCUUCCGGACAGGCCUCACUUACUACCUCAUGUGCUAUGAGAGAGAUUUAGGCUUAAAUUGUGAUUCAUCAUAUAUCAACUAUAUGUGCAUGGAUAAAGUACUUAACUUCUUGGGUAUUUUGAAUUAAUCCUGCAAAUAUGGCACUAUGUACCAGGCAUUAUGCCAGGUGUUGAAAAUUCAGAGGAACAGCUUAAGCAUGGCCCCUGCCUAUAAAGCACCCCAAAUCUGGGAUGUGGGGGACAGACAGCUAAAUAAGUGACUACAGUUCAGAACUGUAUGGACAUAAAAUGCUCACUUAUCUGACUUGAGGUGGACCAAUAGUUAGUAGAUUAAUCAAAAGAGUCAGUGGAGAGUCAUACAAAUAUUAUCUAUUUGUCUUAAAUAUUCUAUUUCAAUUUAAGCAGAUUAGGGUUUGCCAGGAGACAGAGGAAGGGAGAGUACAAGGUGUUCUUCUGGGGUUAUGAAAAAAACUUGCAACUAGAGAGUGGUGGUUGCACAAUAUCAUCAAUCAUUAAAAACCACUGAAUUUUAUACUUUUUAAAAAAUUUAUGAUUUUACAAGUAUAUUACACUUUUAUAUAAUUGUGGAGUUUAGUAAACGUCUAAUUGUAUAUUAUAUGAAUUUUAUCUCAAUAAGAAAAUAUAAAUGUGCAUUAUUUUGCCAGUCUUUUGAUUAGGACUAAGAACUUUAGGUUUUUGUUCAGUUAAUUUAAGUUAUCUUUCCAGUAUAAAUCAUAUCCAUAAUAUAGGUUUUUAAAAAAUAUUUAUUUUGUACUUGUAGUUGGAGCCAAUACCUUCAUUUUAUUUAUUUUUAUGUGUUGCUAGGGAUCAAACCCAGGGCCUCGCAUGUGCUAGGCAUGUGCUCUACUAAGGAGCCACAACCUCAGCUCCCAUAAUAUAGUUUUUUUGAUUGUUUUGACUUCCUUAAAUUGGAGGAGAAAUGUAUUACCUACAAAUCUAUUUCAAGAUAGAUAGAAUCUGCUUAGAUUUUUAUAAUAUUUUUUUCCAUUUAUGGCUUUACUUCUCUUAUUUCUUUUUUUUUUCUUUUGUGUGGUACUGGGGAUUGAACUCAGGGCCUUGUACAUACAAGGCAAGCACUUUACCAACUGAGCUACAUCCCCAGCCCAUAGCUUUACUUCUUUAUAUAUAACAUGACAAUUUUUUGGCACUUCACAUUUAUAUCUUUGGACAUAACUGAAAUAGAGAACAUGGAGCAGAUCUGGUCGUGGGGGGAGGGGAAUGAAUUCAGCUUGGAAUACAUUGAAUUUGAGUUUUAAAGCAACUGUGGGUUGGCUGGGCAUGGUGACACAGGUUUAUAAUCCCAGCUACUUAGGAGGUUAGGGCACAAGAAUUGCAAGUUCAAAGUCAGUCUGUGCAACUUAAUGAGACCUUGUCUCAAAAUAAAAUAAAAAGAACUAGGGAUGCAGCUGAAAGGUAGAAUAUUUGUCUAGCAUGUGCAAGGCCCUGGGUUUGAACUCCAGUACCAUAAAAAAUAAAAUAAAAUAAAAUAGAAGGGCUGGGGAUAUUCAUUAAGUAGCUAGACAAAUAAAUCUAAAAUUGAAUUUCAGAGGUUAAAGUGGCCAAAAAUUCAUGUAAGGUAAAAAAAAUGGAAAACAUGCAAUCAAUUUUACCCAGAGGAGGUAAAAUUUCACAUUGGUGAAAGCAAUUUUAGAAAGAAGGUGACACAGGAGACAGAUGGUAGGAGUGGAGGGGUAUACGGGCAUGAAAUAACCAUUUGUGGGUAAUCAGAGCAUUAGGACUUUGAAGAUGAUAGAGUCGGGGGUGCAGCAGUUGGAAGGGGAGUAAGGGAUGAGUAAGAACAUGUAAAUGUUUCAGAGAUGCAUCAGUACGAAGGCAGAGGUUGCAAAUGCAAGCAGGAGAAGGAAUAAAUGGGGAUUAGAUAGAGAAACCCAUACGUGUUAGGGACCACUGUUGUGAGGGAUAAAUGAGUGAGACCACAUGGCAUGCAUGUGCCUUGUUAGUUCCUUCCCUUAUCUAUCUACUGCCUUGCUGAGAGCCAUCCUUUCCUCUAUUAUGUCUCAUUUUGUUCUUAUCUACAAUCUGCUGUGAGUACAUUGGCCUGGGCCUUCCUGACUGCACACCUGUAGUUUUAGAAGUCACCCAUGUAAUUCCAGAUGGACAUUUAAGUUUAGAAACUAAGACUGGCCUAAUGUCUUACCUAUACCUUCUUCCCACAUAUGUCCACAAUGCCUACAGUGAGUUUCAUUUCACAACUUCUUACUUGCAUCCUGAUUCUUAUUCAGCUGCUCAGCAGAGGCAAUAGGCUCCUUGUUAUACCUGAGUUGUCUCAUGUGCUCACUCAGACUUUCUUAGCUCUCAGUUUCCUUCACUAAGCCAAUAUGGCAUAUUCUUGUUCAUUGUAGAAAUAAGUUCUCUUCUCCCCAGAGACUUGUUCCAAUAAACAUCUUUAAUUAUUAAAAACAAUUGUUAAUGGCAUUAGAUACUCUGUUCAGGACUUUCACACAGCAUUCAAAAAACAAUUAAGUUUCCCUUUAUUUAGCUCCAUUUGACACAUCCUGUUUCCUCAUUGCUCACACAUAAGCCAUUUCUGUCAUCAUUUAGAACCCCUCCUCACCAUUAUUGGGAGGCAGUAGUGGUUGUUUUUUAGUAUUUUGGUGUAUUUCUUUCCAGUGCUUUAGAAAAACAUAGUUGAAAACAUACUGUACUUUUUUCACUUGCUAUUUUAAUAUAAGCAUUUUCCUGUUAAAGUUAUUAACUAUGAUUUUUGAUAACUGCCAGAUAUUCCUUUUUCCUACAGGUGUUCCAAGUUUCACUUGGCCAUCUUCCCAUACUUAGACACAUUGGUUUGCAUGUGUUUACACAUACAUUUUUCUUUGCUGAUUAUUCCCUUACACUAGGCUUCUGGAAGUGGGACUGUGAUGGCAAAUAUUUUAAAAAGCAUAAGAAAGCUAGUUUCAAUUUAAGAAUUGGAGAUGAUGUUGUUUUCUCACCAACAGAGUACUAAUUUUUCAGGUUCAAUUGAGCUUUCACACACACACACAAAGAAUGGCUAGUGCUGAGGAUGUCGUUCAGUGGUACAGCCUUUGCCUAGCAUGGAUGAGUCCUCAAGUUCAAUUCCCAGUACUGUAUUAAAAAAAAAAAAAGAAAGAAAAAAAGAAUGGCUUUAUGAAUCUCUCUUUUUACAUUUUUAUAAGUAGUAUUAGCUUCUUCAUCUUAAAAAUAUUAACCCUGCAAUUGUUUAUAGUGUUACAUACUCUUUUAAGAGAACUACAUAGAUCUGGUCACUGCUGAUGAUGCGGCAUGCAUGUUGAAGAUUCACUGAGUGCAAAUACGGGUUAUGACCCCAGGGAUGGACCUCCGAAGAAUCGAGGUAAAGAGUCGAGAUAAUUUAGAGGAUGAGCCUGAGGGAGGGGAAUAGAUCAGAGGGGACCCAGCUGGGACAUCCAACCUUCACCUGGGCCAAAUGUAAAGAAUGAAUGUGUGGUGUGCCCAUUCCCUCUGAAGGUCUCUGUUGUAAUCUAUUCCCUCCUCUUUUCCAGAGCAUAACAAGUGGCAAUUCUCAGAAAGGCACUGUAACUACCACAUGCUGGGCUCUCUAACUUCCUUCCUCAUUUUCCUCUUCACUCACAUUUGCCAUAUCUCUUUUUUUGUCCCCCAGCCCUGCUUCAGGCCCCAGACUAAUCCUGCCCCAAAUCAGUGAAGGUGGCUGGCACUGGUUUGAAGAGCUUACAGAAAUCUCUUGUGGCUAGUCAGCUUGGAGUUCUUUUUGGAAACCACAGGCCCUAACCAGGGCUGACAGACUUCAGACACCAGGUGCUGCCCAUUUGUCACUUAGCACCCCCAGGUACUGUGCUUCUGUGGCUCUCUCCUCCGCUCAUUCUGUGCUGCAGCUGUCUCAUAAGGGUCUGCCCUCCCUGACAUCACUAAAGAGACCAUCUAUAUUCCAGGGACAAACCCAUCCCUGUCUGCCACACUCCCAUUGAAGAUAAAAAUAACAUUAACAACAAAAAAAUAUUUAAUUUACUAUCAUUCAUUUAACCAUUGGACUUUCCAUUCCUGGACAUGACACAGGGCACACUAUAGCUUAUUCCUUAAAAAGAUCUGAUAAUAACUGUAAACAAAUAUAUUGGGCAUAUUAUCAUUGGCAUAAAAACUAAUAUCCAGUCUACCCAGUACAAGCUUAGGGGAGAGGGAAAAGCAGAACACCUUGCUUUGUUACCACUCCUGUUCCAGGUCCAAGAAGAGUGCUAAAGCCACAAGGAAGGAGGUUGGCAGAAACCAAGGCAUUGUCGUAAGAAUGUUUAAGUAGAGACCCUAACUUUAUCCUUUGGCAGAAUCUCUUCCUGUGGAGAAUCUGGCCCAUUUGCAUAGUGUUCUUGUUUUUCCUGAGUCUGAUCUGUAUCUGUUUUAUAUUUUCUAGCCACCAGAGGAUUAAAGUAAAUUUGGAAGAAUUCUAAAUAAUUUCCCUCCACCCCCACGUUAGCUUCAUGUUAAUAUGAACCUAUGAUGUUGAAAAGAAGUUUUUUUUUAAUUAUCUGAGGACAGCAGUCAUCCAUACUCUCUUACCACUGACUACCUGUGAAUUAAUUAUCAUCAAAUAUUCAUCUGCCCAGGGUGAGUUACAAGUUUUGCUUAGGUGUUUGGUGAAUAAUACAAAUGCAGUUUAUUUCCUUGUUUGAUCUCUCAUCUUGAGGUAAUCAGCUAGAGAAGUAAAAAUUAUGGUUUGGUACUUAAAUUUUUGUUGUUGUUGUUUGUUUAUACUGUCUCUGUCCCAUCUAUAUUAGAUUUAAACUGCUUUUUAAAUUUAUUUUACCUUUCAUAUUUCCUCUGAUAGAAUCAUAUAAUCAUAUUCUCUACCCAUUUAUCCACUGGGGAUAUUGGUAGUGUUUAUCUAUAUGUUUGGAGAUGAUAACUAUUUUCUGUUUAUGGUGAACUUUUUUGUUUUCAUUGUUAAUUUUUUAUUGCUUAGACUUUAAAUGUUAUAUAACUAUAUUUUAUUAUUUAGUUUUAUUUCUUAUUUCUCCUUUUGCUCUAAUUGUAGAAAUUAUCACUUUAAAGUGGGACUAAAAGCUGUAUUCUUCCUUUAGGGUUCCAUUUCCCACCACUCUGACAUUCUCUGGACUCCAAAGCUCAUGCCCGGUAAUUCUUUUUUUAGUUGCCGUUGAACACAAUAUCUUUAUUUAUUUAUUUUUAUGUGGUGCUGAGGAUCAAACCCAGCGCCUCACAUGUGCUAGGCAAGCACUCUCCCACUGAGCCCCAGCCCUAGUCCUCCGGUACUUCUUCCCUAUCAUUCUUCCCUAACAGAAGGUUGAAUACUUGUUAUGACUAAAGUUGUGCAGUUUAUUGUUCACUUGUUUAUCCUAUAUUCAGAACAAUUUUCUGUUUUCUGUUGUUCAAGAGGCAUGUGACUUAACAUCAUUCACACCCAGUUUCACUCACUCUUUUAUUCAUUCACUCACAAAUUCACGUUUUCAUUUACUAUAGGUGGCCACAGACUCUAGGUGACCCUCAAUGAUCCCUGCUUCCUGAUGUUCACACUUUGAGUGUGGACAAGUCUAAUGACCUGCUUCUAACCAACAUUAUGGUAAAAAUGAUGGGGUGUCUUUCCUGUAAUUGUGUUACAUAAUGUAAGGCUCUGUCUUGCUAGAAGACUUAUUUUAUAUUCCUUGCUGGCUCGAUGAAGUAAGCAGCCAUGUUGGGAAAGCCCACAUGAUGAAGAAACUGGGGCAGAAGCUUGGAUUCUUAGUCUUAGAGCCAUAAAGAAAUGAUUCUGUCAAGAACAUAAGUGGACUUGGAAGGGGUACCUUCCUCAGUCAAGACUGAAUGAGAACACAAACCAGGAGACACUUGAUUGCAACCUUGUGAUUCCCUGAGUGGAGGACCUGUCUAAUUCAUUCCCUGACCUACAAAAGCUGUGAAAUAAAAAAAAAAAUGGUUGUUGUUUUAAGCCAAUAAGGGUGUGGUAAUUUUUUUUAUGAAUAGAAAAUAAAUACACUGUGCUACACUAAAUACUAUAUGUGCAUAGUCUCAGUGCUUAAAAAUAAUCUCCCAAAUCUGAUACUUACUAAUAUCCCCAUUGUACAUGUGAAGAAAUUAAGGCUCAGGAAUUGAACUCUUGAACAUUCUGUUCUUUACCACAGAUCAUGACAUGUUUUAUUUUAACGUUUUUUGUUAUUUCAUUGUUUCAAAUUUACAACUGGUUUAAAAUAUAUCUUCUGUAACACAACUAAUACAUUUAGGAAAAAUCUUACUUGGCACACCUUGCACACAAGGUAAAUGCUUUUAUAAAUUCAAUAUUGUAAGGAACUGUCCUGUUUUUUACUAUAUCUUUUUACUAUAUACCUCCUAGAAAUAUUAGAUAUAUGAAUACAGUUUCUCUUUUAUAUUAAAAGUGAUAGACACGGGGGCUGAGGAUAUAGAUGAGUUAAUAGAGUGCUUGCCUCGCAUGCACAAGACCCUGGUUCAAUCCUCUCCACCCCCCACCUCCCCCCAAAAAGUGAUAGACAUGAGAAGGAUCAUGGGCUUCAUAUGCAUGGGAAUUUAUCUGGAAUAAGGGCCUUCAAAUAAACACCAGAAUGUGCAGGAGCUUGGAUUCUGUCUUUAACUUUUCUAUAAAACUAAAACAUUUCGUCUAUGUUCUAACUUUUUGUUUCUGAUUAGGUAUAGACAUUUCAUCUAUGUUCUAACUUUUCGUUUCUAAGUAAGAAUAGGGAAAGAUUAGGAAGUGGAAAGAUUUAAACACUAUUUUUUUUUACAACUAAAAUCCUCUUUGGAUUAGUGUUCUGAGGAAUGAAGGUGGGAUUGUGACCCCAGUAUCAUGUCUUCUAAUGAGAGUCCUUUCUAUUCUGCAUUUAUCAGAUGUUAAUUAUUCAUACUGCAUGAUUGAAGAUUUUGGAGUCAGAGAUUCACCUGCAAUAUUUGGAAUACCAGUGAAGGUCUACAUCAACACAGAAUUUAUACAGCAGCUGGUGCUAGUCAAAGCUAAUGA